UACGUAGGUGGCGAGCGUUGUCCGGAUUUACUGGGCGUAAGAGCGCGCAGGCGGUCGUGCAAGUCGCGUGUGAAAGCCCCGGCUCAACUGGGGAGGGUCACGCGAUACUGCUCGACUCGAAGGCAGGAGAGGGAAGUGGAAUUCCCGGUGUAGUGGUGAAAUGCGUAGAUAUCUGGAGGAACACCGGUGGCGAAGGCGGCAUCCUGGACCGAGAGUUGACGCUGAGCGGCGCGA
rnacentral:rRNA from 1 species